UUGAUCAUAGAUCAAACUUGUUGCUGUUUAUACAGAUAAUUGUAGAAUGCUCAUGGAAUAUUUUCUUUAGGAUAGAUGGGAUACUUCUGUAGUAAAACUGGGAAACCUUGUUCAGCUGGUUACUGAUGUCUGGUGGGAAGUAAACUUCCUCAUGUAUGCAUAGAUGCACUUACAGAGACUUUGCUUCAUGAAAAUGUCAGUUCUGAUAGUAACGGAUUCAGAUGUGUACUUUUAAAAGGCUAAUUUUAGGAACAUUUUCUUAACACACAUCAGCAAAGUCAUAAAAGAUCUAAAUGAAGAAAUAAGACCUCUGAUUAAAAAUAUUAUUUUCUGUUUGUCUUGAGCAGAUUGUUUACCUGUUAGACUCUAGACUCUGAACCCAGCAUGUAAAAGAAUUUGAAAUGCUAAUGAGAGUGAGAAUAUAUAUGUAAUAUGUUUUUAGCACUUUUCCUUUUAAAAAAGUAAAAGCACUCUAGAACAUUUUUAAAAAUAAAUCUUGGGUUCUGAAAAUAUUGGUGAACAGAAAUGAGCAGUGGGAAGUGUCCUAUUUUAAGUGUUGAUUAUUAGAUAAAUUUAAUCCACUUAGGGUUUAUUGUAACUAGGCCUUUGAAAAGUGUGGGUGGAGGAUUAGAAUUGCCUAUCGGAGCUAUAAAAACCCUCUGGCUUGAAAAGGCAUCCCAGAAAUUCUGGAUAAGAAGGUGUGGCCUGUUAAAACAUGGAGGUUCAGAGUAUUUUGUUUUGCUGGUGUAGAUAGGCAUGUACUUAUGCAUUUUUGCAUUUGUAAAAUCAGCAAUUUUUCAGAUAAUGUAAUAUACUAGUUUACUUAUAAAGGUACUUGGGGCAGAAUCUAAAGCUAUGAUGUUUGAUUUUGAGAAAUGUAACUUGUGGUAAGGACAGAAAUGCAACUUGUAGAACCAAAGGAAAUAAAAAUUCUGGAUAGUGUUUCAAAAUGUCUUUUGAACAGGAGUUUCUUAAAUACAUUGGUUUUGAUCAAAUGAAGCUCAGUUCUCUCUUGAGAUUUGUGCUAAUCAUAAGAUGAUUGAAUGCAAAAACACCUUGUAAUUUCAUAUGGACUUAUUAUAAUUAGGUUUAUUGGAUUAUUGGCCUAAUAAGAAUGCUAGUAUGUAUUGGUUAGAAUAUAUCUAAUAUUUCACAUUUUAAAAAUAAUUAGUAUACUUUCUUCAGAAUUUUCUUUUAUUUCAACUUGGAGCCUAGAUUACUUUGCCAAAUAAAUGUAUUAUUUUCAUAAUGCAAUAAAAUAUAAAUUAGAAGAAUU
rnacentral:lncRNA from 1 species